rnacentral:rRNA from 1 species
CGGUGUUUAACUGGCGUGAUGUGGGACGUCCUACCGGUGGGCUUAGCCUCGCGAGGGGCGGCCCAACUAAUAUCCCGUCGCGGUGCUCUUUACUGAGUGUCGAGUCGGGCCGGUACGUUUACUUUGAACAAAUUAGAGUGCUUAAAGCAGGCUAUCCUCGCCUGAAUACUGCGUGCAUGGAAUAAUGGAAUAGGACCUCAGUUCUAUUUUGUUGGUUUUCGGAACCCCGAGGUAAUGAUUAAUAGGGACAGAUGGGGGCAUUCGUAUUGCGACGUUAGAGGUGAAAUUCUUGGAUCGUCGCAAGACGGACAGAAGCGAAAGCAUUUGCCAAAAAUGUUUUCAUUAAUCAAGAACGAAAGUUAGAGGUUCGAAGGCGAUCAGAUACCGCCCUAGUUCUAACCAUAAACGAUGCCAGCUAGCGAUCCGCCGAAGUUCCUCCGAUGACUCGGGCGGGCAGCUUCCGGGAAACCAAAGCUUUUGGGUUCCGGGGGAAGUAUGGUUGCAAAGCUGAAACUUAAAGGAAUUGACGGAAGGGCACCACCAGGAGUGGAGCCUGCGGCUUAAUUUGACUCAACACGGGAAACCUCACCAGGCCCAGACACCGGAAGGAUUGACAGAUUGAUAGCUCUUUCUUGAUUCGGUGGGUGGUGGUGCAUGGCCGUUCUUAGUUGGUGGAGCGAUUUGUCUGGUUAAUUCCGAUAACGAACGAGACUCUAGCCUGCUAAAUAGGCGUACCUUAUGGUAUCGCGAAGGCCCCCGGCUUCGGCCGGUGGGUUUUUACUACCAACGUACAAACAAAUCUUCUUAGAGGGACAGGCGG